UGGGGGUAAAGCACUGUGUCGGCUAGGGGGUCAUCCCGACUUACCAACCCUUUGCAAACUCCGAAUACCAAUGAGAACUAUCCGGGAGACACACGGCGGGUGCUAACGUCCGUCGUGAAGAGGGAAACAACCCAGACCGCCAGCUAAGGUCCCAAAAUAUUGCUAAGUGGGAAACGAAGUGGGAAGGCUAAAACAGUCAGGAUGUUGGCUUAGAAGCAGCCAUCAUUUAAAGAAAGCGUAAUAGCUCACUGAUCGAGUCGUCCUGCGCGGAAGAUGUAACGGGGCUAAGCAAUAUACCGAAGCUGCGGAUACGUGUUUACACGUAUGGUAGGGGAGCGUUGUGUAAGUGGAUGAAGGUGGAUUGAGAAGUCUGCUGGACAUAUCACAAGUGCGAAUGCUGACAUGAGUAACGAUAAUGGGAGUGAAAAACUCCCACGCCGGAAGACCAAGGUUUCCUAUCCCAUGCUAAUCAGGGUAGGGUAAGUCGGCCCCUAAGGCGAGGCGGAAACGCGUAGUCGAUGGGAAACGGAUUAAUAUUUCCGUACUUGUUAUAUCAGUGAAGGGGGGACGGAGAAGGUUAUGCUAGCUUGGCGUUGGUUGUCCAAGUGAAAGUGCGUAGGGUUGAUUUUUAGGAAAAUCCGGAAAUCUACAUGCCUGAGACACGAGACGAGACACUACGGUGUUGAAGUAGCAAAUACCCUGCUUCCAGGAAAAGCCUCUAAACUUAUGAUAUAGCGAACCGUACCCCAAACCGACACAGGUGGUCAGGUAGAGAAUACUAAGGCGCUUGAGAGAACUCGGGUGAAGGAACUCGGCAAAAUUGUACCGUAACUUCGGGAGAAGGUACGCCUCCUAUUGUGAUUGCACUUGCUGCAUGAGCGAUGGGAGGCCGCAGUGACCAGGAGGCUGGGACUGUUUAUUAAAAACACAGCACUGUGCAAACACGAAAGUGGACGUAUACGGUGUGACGCCUGCCCGGUGCCGGAAGGUUAAUUGAU
rnacentral:rRNA from 1 species